rnacentral:rRNA from 1 species
GACGAACGCUGGCGGCGUGCUUAACACAUGCAAGUCGAACGGAAAGGCCCUGCUUUUGUGGGGUGCUCGAGUGGCGAACGGGUGAGUAACACGUGAGUAACCUGCCCUUGACUUUGGGAUAACUUCAGGAAACUGGGGCUAAUACCGGAUAGGAGCUCCUGCUGCAUGGUGGGGGUUGGAAAGUUUCGGCGGUUGGGGAUGGACUCGCGGCUUAUCAGCUUGUUGGUGGGGUAGUGGCUUACCAAGGCUUUGACGGGUAGCCGGCCUGAGAGGGUGACCGGCCACAUGGGGACGGGGAUACGGCCCAGACUCCUACGGGAGGCAGCGGGGGGGAAUAUUGCACAAUGGGCGGAAGCCGGAUGCAGCAACGCCGCGUGCGGGAUGACGGCCUUCGGGUUGUAAACCGCUUUCGCCUGUGACGAAGCGUGAGUGACGGUAAUGGGUAAAGAAGCACCGGCUAACUACGU